UGCCAGCCGCCGCGGUAACACGGGGGGCGCAAGCGUUAUUCGGAAUUAUUGGGCGUAGAGCGUGCGUAGGUGGUUUGGUAAGUCGGAUGUGAAAGCCCUGGGCUCAACCUGGGAACUGCAUUCGAUACUGCUUGACUAGAGUAUAGUAGAGGGUAGUGGAAUUCAGGGUGUAGCGGUGAAAUGCGUAGAUAUCCUGAGGAACACCAGUGGCGAAGGCGACUUCCUGGGCCAAUACUGACGCUGAGGUGCGAAAGCGUGGGGAGCAAACAGGAUUAGAUA
rnacentral:rRNA from 1 species